rnacentral:rRNA from 1 species
CAGUAGCCGCGGGAAUACGAAGGGUGCAAGCGUUAAUCGGAAUUACUGGGCGUAAAGCGUGCGCAGGCGGUUGUGUAAGACAGGUGUGAAAUCCCCGGGCUUAACCUGGGAACUGCGCUUGUGACUGCACAGCUAGAGUAUGGCAGAGGGGGGUGGAAUUCCACGUGUAGCAGUGAAAUGCGUAGAGAUGUGGAGGAACACCGAUGGUGAAGGCAGCCCCCUGGGCCAAUACUGACGCUCAUGCACGAAAGCGUGGGGAGCAAACAGGAUUAGAUACCCCAGUAGUCCCUGUCUCUUAUAC